GUUGAGGUCUACCCCAAUGGGGUUUUUUCUGUAACCCACAUUGUUGGAAACGCCUCAUAGCGUGUAUGUGUGGGUUCCUUUAGUCACAGAACUAUAUGUUAGAUCUGUGGGAAAGAACUACAGGAUAUCU
ensembl:snoRNA